rnacentral:rRNA from 1 species
GACGAACGCUGGCGGCGUGCUUAACACAUGCAAGUCGAACGGAAAGGCCCUGCUUUUGUGGGGUGCUCGAGUGGCGAACGGGUGAGUAACACGUGAGUAACCUGCCCUUGACUUUGGGAUAACUUCAGGAAACUGGGGCUAAUACCGGAUAGGAGCUCCUGCUGCAUGGUGGGGGUUGGAAAGUUUCGGCGGUUGGGGAUGUACUCGCGGCUUAUAAGCUUGUUGGUGGGGUAGUGGCAUACAAAGGCUUUGACGGGUAGCCGGCCUGAGAGGGUGAACGGCCACAUUGGGACUGAGAUACGGCCCAGACUCAUACGGAAGGCAGCAGGAGAGAAUAUUGCACAAUGGGCGGAAGCCUGAUGCAGAAAAGACGCGGGCGGGAUGACGGCCUUAGGGUUGUAAACCGCUUUCGCCUAUGACGAAGCGUGAGUGACGGUAAUGGGUAAAGAAGCACCGGCUAACUACGUG